UACGUAGGGUGCGAGCGUUAAUCGGAAUUACUGGGCGUAAAGCGUGCGCAGGCGGUUCGGCAAGCAAGAUGUGAAAUCCCAGAGCUUAACUUUGGAACUGCAUUUUUAACUCCCGGGCUAGAGUGUGUCAGAGGGGGGUAGAAUUCCACGUGUAGCAGUGAAAUGCGUAGAGAUGUGGAGGAAUACCGAUGGCGAAGGCGGCCAUCUGGGACAACACUGACGCUGAAGCACGAAAGCGUGGGGAGCAAACAGG
rnacentral:rRNA from 1 species